rnacentral:tRNA from 1 species
GCCCGGAUGGUGGAAUUGGUAGACACAAGGGAUUUAAAAUCCCUCGGCGUUCGCGCUGUGCGGGUUCAAGUCCCGCUCCGGGUACCA